UGAUCUAGUCAAACCAUAAAGAAGAAU
rnacentral:piRNA from 1 species